UCAUGGAGAAAAGAGCUGGCAAAACUCUGGGGCGUCCAAUUCUUGGAUAUACAAAGAGAACAGGAAAGAGGUCACAGGUGGAUUUUGCGCUUGUGGUCUGUGGAAGGGAGGUGACUGUUAAUAAUCCGUUCUCUGAGGUGUGUUCAGCUCUGUGUGGGACAGGUGUGGGUGUGCUGCCCAGCCUGUGCUCCCCACCAGCUCAGCUCUUGGAGGGAGGUUCAG